rnacentral:rRNA from 1 species
CUGGCCUACGGGACGCAGCAGUGAGGAAUAUUGGUCAAUGGACGCAAGUCUGAACCAGCCAAGUAGCGUGCAGGAUGACGGCCCUCCGGGUUGUAAACUGCUUUUAGUUGGGAAUAAAAGGGGGCUCGUGAGCCCCGUAUUGUAUGUACCAUCAGAAAAAGGACCGGCUAAUUCCGUGCCAGCAGCCGCGGUAAUACGGAAGGUCCGGGCGUUAUCCGGAUUUAUUGGGUGUAAAGGGCGGGUAGGCGGGAAUGCAAGUCAGAUAUGAAAACU